UAUAUCUUAAUUGCUAGGUGUUGAAUGAAUUUCUCCUCAUCUGCUUCCUCAUUAGCUUUAAGCUACCAUAUAAUUAUAUUUGAAUGAAGCAAUGUACCGUUGGUGGGAUUCACGCUCACUGCGGUGCACGGCUUUUAUUGCUUUAUGGCCAACGUUCUUCAGUUUUCUUUGUUUUUCUUCCACAGAACAAGAACAGAUGAGCAGUAACUUCAUCAGGGCAGCGUUGACACCAUUCCUCAGGAGGAAAACCUGUUCUGCGAGAACGUCACACAGCGUCUAUUGUUUGAAUAAAGAAAACUUCAAUUUCAGUCCCCUGAAAAUGCGGCUUUCAAGUUUAGCUGGGGAGAAAAUCAUUAGUUCUUCAGACGCCAUCUUGAGCAGAAUGCCCUGCCCUGUAGUCCUCCUCCUGUCUAUUUAGAUGUCACAUGCCUUUCUCGAUGAACUAAAUGAGACUCGAUGAGUUCCUAC